rnacentral:rRNA from 1 species
AGAGUUUGAUCCUGGCUCAGAUUGAACGCUGGCGGCAGGCUUAACACAUGCAAGUCGAGCGGUAACAUUUCUAGCUUGCUAGAAGAUGACGAGCGGCGGACGGGUGAGUAAUACUUAGGAAUCUACCUAGUAGUGGGGGAUAGCACGGGGAAACUCGUAUUAAUACCGCAUACGACCUACGGGAGAAAGGGGGCAGUUUACUGCUCUCGCUAUUAGAUGAGCCUAAGUCGGAUUAGCUAGAUGGUGGGGUAAAGGCCUACCAUGGCGACGAUCUGUAGCUGGUCUGAGAGGAUGAUCAGCCACACCGGGACUGAGACACGGCCCGGACUCCUACGGGAGGCAGCAGUGGGGAAUAUUGGACAAUGGGGGAAACCCUGAUCCAGCCAUGCCGCGUGUGUGAAGAAGGCCUUUUGGUUGUAAAGCACUUUAAGCAGUGAAGAAGACUCCUCGGUUAAUACCCGUGGACGAUGACAUUAGCUGCAGAAUAAGCACCGGCUAACUCUGUGCCAGCAGCCGCGGUAAUACAGAGGGUGCAAGCGUUAAUCGGAAUUACUGGGCGUAAAGGGAGCGUAGGUGGCUCGAUAAGUCAGAUGUGAAAUCCCCGGGCUCAACCUGGGAACUGCAUCUGAUACUGUUGAGCUAGAGUAUGUGAGAGGAAGGUAGAAUUCCAGGUGUAGCGGUGAAAUGCGUAGAGAUCUGGAGGAAUACCGAUGGCGAAGGCAGCCUUCUGGCAUAAUACUGACACUGAGGCUCGAAAGCGUGGGUAGCAAACAGGAUUAGAUACCCUGGUAGUCCACGCCGUAAACGAUGUCUACUAGUCGUUGGGUCCCUUGAGGACUUAGUGACGCAGCUAACGCAAUAAGUAGACCGCCUGGGGAGUACGGCCGCAAGGUUAAAACUCAAAUGAAUUGACGGGGGCCCGCACAAGCGGUGGAGCAUGUGGUUUAAUUCGAUGCAACGCGAAGAACCUUACCUGGUCUUGACAUAUCUAGAAUCCUGCAGAGAUGCGGGAGUGCCUUCGGGAAUUAGAAUACAGGUGCUGCAUGGCUGUCGUCAGCUCGUGUCGUGAGAUGUUGGGUUAAGUCCCGCAACGAGCGCAACCCUUGUCCUUAGUUACCAGCGGGUUAAGCCGGGAACUCUAAGGAUACUGCCAGUGACAAACUGGAGGAAGGCGGGGACGACGUCAAGUCAUCAUGGCCCUUACGACCAGGGCUACACACGUGCUACAAUGGUAGGUACAGAGGGCAGCUACACAGCGAUGUGAUGCGAAUCUCAAAAAGCCUAUCGUAGUCCAGAUUGGAGUCUGCAACUCGACUCCAUGAAGUAGGAAUCGCUAGUAAUCGCGGAUCAGAAUGCCGCGGUGAAUACGUUCCCGGGCCUUGUACACACCGCCCGUCACACCAUGGGAGUUGAUUGCACCAGAAGUGGAUAGCUUAACCUUCGGGAAGGCGUUCACCACGGUGUGGUUGAUGACUGGGGUGAAGUCGUAACAAGGUAGCCGU